rnacentral:lncRNA from 1 species
UCAUCUACUAUUGUAUUAUGAUGGCACAAUAAAAAAUGAUGAAGAUGGCGUGCAGUACACUUAGCUUGCAAGCUGGAUGGUUAGACGGUCUUCAUCAUUAUUAUGUCAAAAAUUAUUGGACCAUCUAUACAGUGGUAUUCCUAUAGACAGAAAAAAAUAUGAAAUCAAAUUGAGAUGGAGAUCUUCUAAUUUAUUGGGAC